rnacentral:lncRNA from 1 species
UUUUGUCUGGAAAAUGACAUGUGUUAUGAUGAGAUGCAGAUGCAAUGAAAUGUGAAUGAAUGCAAUGCAAGCCAUGCAUAUUUGUGUUUUUUUUUUCAAUACACGGGUUCAAAAGUCCGAGGUACUAAUAAAUUUGAUUGCUUUUCCAAAACGGGGUUCUCACCGGGUAUGAUCUAGGGCUUUGUUACAAAGGAUCCCCAGAGUCAUUGAUUCACAAGAAUGUUU